UACGGAGGGUGCAAGCGUUAUCCGGAUUCACUGGGUUUAAAGGGUGCGUAGGCGGCCUAUUAAGUCAGGGGUGAAAGCCUCCCGCUCAACGGGAGAAUUGCCUUUGAAACUGAUUGGCUUGAGUGUAGUUGAAGUGGGCGGAAUACAGCAUGUAGCGGUGAAAUGCUUAGAUAUGCUGUAGAACACCAAUUGCGAAGGCAGCUCACUAAACUAUUACUGACGCUGAGGCACGAAAGCGUGGGUAGCGAACAGG
rnacentral:misc_RNA from 1 species